rnacentral:misc_RNA from 1 species
GAAGUGCGAUAAGUGUCAUGACUUGCAGAUCCCCGAGAGCUGACAAAUUUCUGAAUGCAAAUGGCGACCAACUUACCAUUGGCCAUGUAUUGCAGAGUGUAGUUGUUCAUACUCAUCAUCCUCCCUGAACCUCAAGGGUUCCGUGUGAGGGAUCUGCGCUUGUGUGGGCUCCCCUACGCGAGCGUGAAACGUCAGAGUGGAUGCCUUGCUUCUCUCACAGGAGGGAAGGCUCCAACUUCGGAAGGUACUAUAUACUCUUUUAGAAGUUCCCCCAUACUCUGUCUCUCGUCCCAGAGAGAACCCUAUUUUUUCUAUUCACCUCUGCAAUGCAGGAAAACCCGCUGAACUUAA